AAGUCUGUGUACCAAGUUUCUGCUACUUAACUUUGUUAUGUUCCUAUGAGAAUGGUACAUUGAGAUAUUGGAGGAAUUACCACACAUUUGCAAAGCGGGCAUGGCUACUAAGCUCCUAUCUUCCCAGAGUCCACCACCCCUUACUUUCAACCUGGAAAAGUAGAUUAUCGAGGGGCUUCACCAAGCGUUGGCUCCUCGCCUUCCGGCGGUUCAUCGGGCGAAGUGAAUAGUCGUCCACGCGGCCGGCUAGGCGGACGACCGGCAGGCUGGCCGCAUCCCGGCCACGAAGGCCAAAGCUACUUCUGCUACUUCCACGACGCAGUUGAGGAGGAGGUACACGAUUUUGGCGAGGAGAGCUACGCGCUCAUAAAGGCCAACGUCGUCGACCUAAAGCCGCUCCAGGUCGUCCGCCUAGACAUAUCCCAUACUCACAUGAGCAAGAAAACAAGUUAAAUAGUUCUUUAGCGGCUUGCUCAAGAUAUAUCCCAUACUCACAGUUUAUUUAUUUAUUUCCUGAAAAGAGUAUAUAUAGUCCCACUGUCUUAGGGUCCGAAAGUGAAUGUCAUAUGUUUCCAGAUUUGCUUUUCUCUAUAUCCAUCUGCAGUCUAUCUAAAAUAAUGGAGGAAAACAAAUAUACAUGUAUUCUCUCCGGCCUAAUCUAUCUCCCAAUGUUUGUCCUCGGUGGUACGAGUCCAUCGGACCCAACACGGCCUUUGUCGAGCCAGAGCUCAUGUCGACGUCACCAUUCGAUGCCACCAUCCUCACUCCGGCAUCCUGUUUCGCAAUAGUGUUAAAGAGUCUACUUCACUCCGUCUAGAAAAUCAUAGGCCACACAUAAGAGCAAGAAUUGUUACAUACAUGAAUACGAUAUAUAACUACAUACAUGCAUGUAUGCCAGGCAUCAAUGGUCACACGUGAUGCAAAAAGAAAAUACUCCACACAAUUAUGUUAUGUGAUUGAGAUGACACACGUUAGAUGUCAUGCAAACGAACUGAAUAUGUAAAUGACUAUUAGUAUGAGCAAUUUAUGUUUCUGUAUGUUCCUUCCACCAAGUAUCUUCGAGUAGAAACUACCUAAGUAAGUUUUAGGACUCAACCAAAUUGAAUCUACGGUUCUUGCUUGACCCCAACUGUAGAAUUUUGAUCUUCAGGUUAUUUUUUAUAGGAUAAUAUGGGGCUUAAUUUGUAUGGUGUCUUCAAUUAGUAAAUACAAAAACGAAUUCUAUUAUUUGAAGAAUUUGCAUUUAAAAUCUACCAUGAGCCUGAAAAUGAUCCCAAGCACCUUUCAAUGACCAACAGAAAUAGUAAAUUAUGUUAGUCAAUGAGGUGUCAUAAUACUAAUACAACCUUUUAUAACAUAUAAACACUAAUUAUGGCUAUAAAAAUAUAUUCAAGUUGCAGGAUUUCUUACCACAUCAUUAGGUCGAUCGGUAAAUAAUUUACUUUAUCUGCCUUCACUUCUAACAAUAUAUAAUCAUACUUCCUUAUGUGCAAUAGUCAACUGGAGGCUGUUCUUUGAUUUUGUUGGUUCUGGCUCUGAAUAUUACACAGGUGCCCUUAGAGGUCAUGAGGUAAUCGCUACAUGCCAGCCUGAAUGCCGGACUAAAGUCUGACACCUUGACGGUACUUCUUUUCUACAGUUUCUGAUGUAGGAAAUACAGUUUUUGAUGUAUGAUGACAAACUUGAUCCUGCCCUAUGCUCGACUAAAUUGCAGCAUAACCUGAAUUGCGGUCUGCUAGAUUUUAUGUUGUAUCCGUCAAUAUCGUCGAGCUAGCAAGUGCAUCAACGCAUAAUCUUUAAACAGUGUUAGAUAGGGCGUUUGUACCAAACUGACUAUAUGAACUGGAGAGUAGAUCGCUAGGCUAAGAUGAUAUCUAUUGCAUCAGAGGUGUUACACAUAUAUACGCCCGGUGGGCAGUGUUACAACGGCCAAGGCCAUGCAUGCUUGUGCAUGCGGAGAGGUGGAUCACGACUAGGUCGGCAGGAGGAGUGGCGCCCAAGGAAGCUGUCCUGAUGCCGCAAGAAGAGGUCGUGGGGGUUAUCCUGGAGUCGGUUUUCAACACCCCCGCAGUCGAAACGUGCGAAUCGCCGACGUUGAGACUCGAGCGGAAAUCGAGAAACACACUGGUCGGCAGGCCCUUGGUGAAUAUAUCGGCGAACUGCGAGCUCGUAGACACGUGGAGGACGCGGAUUUCACCAAGGGCGACGCGCUCGCGGACGAAGUGCAGGUCGAUCUCGAUGUGUUUGGUGCGUUGAUGUUGCACCGGGUUGCUUGACAUGUACACGGCGCUGAUGUUGUCGCAGCAGACCACCGUGGACCGAGAUGGCAAGUGGUGGAGCUCGGCGAGGAGUUGACGGAGCCAUACCGACUCGGCGAUGGCGUUGGCGACCGCCAGGUAUUCUGCCUUGGCACUUGAUCGCGAGACGGUUGUCUGACGCUUCGAGGACCAAGAGAGAAGGUUGGAGCCAAGGUACACGCAGUAGCCCGAGGUGGAACACCGUGUGUCGGGGCUGCCUGCCCAAUCGGCGUUGGAGUAGGCAAUGAGCUCAGUGCCGGUAUCGCGGUGAAUCCCGAGCCCCAGCUGAGUCGUGCCACGGAGAUACCGGAGGAUGCGCUUCACGAGCUGAUAGUGGCAGUCGCGAGGGGCAUGCAUGAACAUGCAACACUACUGAACGGCGUAGGAGAGGUCGGGGCGCGUCAACGUGAUGUACUGGAGUGCACCAACUAGACUGCAGUAGAGCGACGGGUCGUGGAAGAGGGGACCGGUGUCGAUGGAGAGCUUGGCGGACGUGUCGACCGGAGUGGAGAUGGGCUUGCAGUUCAGCAUGCCCGCGCGGUCGAGGAUCUCCAAGGCAUACUGUUCCUGGGAGAGAAACAAGGCCUGCGUAGUGGUGGUGACGUUGAUGCCGAGGAAGUGAUGAAGAGCGCCGAGGUCAGUCAUCGCGAACUCGUGGUGGAGCGACUGGAUGACGGAGUCGAGGACCGCGGUGGAGCUGGCGGUGAGGAUGAUGUCGUCGACGUAGAGGAGCAGGUAGGCGAGGUGGUCACCGCGACGAAGGAUGAAGAGCGAUGUAUCCGAGCGAGACGCGACGAAGCCGACCGUCCGGAGGUAGGCGGUGAAGCAGGUGAACCACGCACGCGGGGCCUGCUUGAGACCGUUCAGCCGGCACAGGUGGGACGGUGACGCAGCGUCGACGAAGCCGGAGGGUUGAUGACAGUAGACCGUCUCGGCGAGGUGGCCGUGGAGGAAGGCGUUUUUCACGUCCAGUUGAUGAAUGGGCCACGACCGGCCGGCGGCGAUGCUCAGGACCGCACGGAUCGUGGCCGGUUUGAUGACUGGACUGAAUGUCUCAGCGUAGUCGACACCGGCCUGUUGGGUGAAGCCACGAAGAACCCAGCACGCCUUAUACCGGGCGAGCGUGCCAUCGGGAUGGAACUUGUGGCGGAAGAUCCAUUUGCCGGUGACAAUGCUGGUACUUGCAGGGCGAGACACUAAACACCAAGUAUUAUUCCGCAUCAGUGUGUUGUAUUCCUCAAGCAUCGUAGCAUACCAGUUCGGGUCACGGAGGGCGACACGGUAGGACGAAAGAAUGGGACUGAUGGAGGAGGUGGUGGCGUGAAAAAGUUUGGGCUGGGCGAAGCCAGACUUACUACGGGUGCGCAUGCAGUGUUGAUUAGCAUGAGGAUCGACAAGGACGGCGCGCGGUGGGACGUGAGGCGCGCGCGGCAGGUUCUGCAUGGGAGCUGGCGGAUGGUGGGGUCGCUGGGACGUGAGGCGCGCGCGCGGGAGGGUCGGCAUAGGAGCGGACGAUGGUGGGGUCGCUGGUGGUGGGACGCGUGGCGUGCAUGAAGUGGCUGCAUGGGUGCGUGGGGAGGCAGGAGAGGGAGGCGACGUGACGGCGGGGCCAGGAGUGCCGGGUAGGGGGGAGGCCGCGGUCGGGGAGGUUAGUUUGUUGCCGCAUGCAGCGGGCCCAAGCGAUGGGGCGGGAGGCACAGUGAGUGGUUGUUGCGCGGAUCCAGGUGGAUCGGGUGCGGAUCCCGGGACGUGGGAUGGGUGGGAGCAGGCGGUUGCGUGUGGUAGGCGCGAAAGAGUGGAGAUGGGAUUGGGUUGGGAUUUUCUGCGGUAGGUGUUGUGUGGGCAGAUGGGUUUGUGGCAGGGUGGUAGCUAGGGAAAACAGCGUUCGUCGAACGUGACAUGCCUUGAAAUGAUGACUUUGCGAGUGGCUAAGUCAAGGCAGUGGUAGCCCUUAUGUUCCAAGGGGUAGCCAAGGAAGACACACCGGGAAGAUCGCGGGGCGAGUUUGUGUGGGGAUGUGGCUAUGGUGUUUGGAAAACAAGGACAGCCAAAGACGCGCAUAUGAUCGUACGUGGGGUGUUGGCCGAGGAGUCUGUAGUGAGGGGUGUGAAAGUGGAUGGCGGAUGAGGGGCGCCGGUUGAGGAUAUAAGUUGCAGUGUGGAGGGCUUCUACCCAAAACGGUGGUGGGAGGUUGGCGUGGAUAAGUAGGACGUGAACGAUGUCUUUGGUGGUGCGUAUAAGACGUUUGGCCUUGCCAUUUUGUGGAGAGGUGUGGGGGCAGGAGAGCCGAAACGACGAGCCGUGGCAAGAGAAGAGAGCACGCAGGGAGGAAGUGAGGAAUUCACCGCCGUUGUCGCAUUGCAUGCACUGGAUGGUGACAUGAAAUUGCGUGAGGACAUAGGCAAAGAAGCGAGUAAUGGUGUCGGCGGUGUCCGAUUUGUGAUGCAGCGGAAAAGUCCACGAGUAGUGCGUGUAAUCAUCAAGUAAGACAAGGUAAUACUGAAAGCCAGAAAAACUUUGCACGGGUGACGUCCAUAAAUCACAAUGUAUUAAUUGAAAAGGGGCACUAGUCGUGGAGGUAGAAUGCGGAAAGGGCAGCCGGGGCUGCUUGCCUAGUUUACAUGAAACACAAACAUGUUGGCUAGGACGAUUAUUACAUUUUGGAAGAAAACUACGGGCGAUGGUGGAGACGGUGUUGUUGUUGACGUGAUCCAAGCGAAGAUGCCAUAGCUCGUUGGAGGUGAUGGAGAGGGCUGCCUGCAUGCCGGAGUUGCUGAAGAAGGGGUAGAGAUCGUCGUGGCUAUUUGAUCUCAUGAUCACUCUCCCCGUGGCUAGGUCCUUCACGGAAAAACCAAAAUGGUCAAAAGCAAUAGAGCAAAAGUUGUCGAUGGUAAAACGACAUACUGAAAUAAGGUUUUUGAUGAUGGUGUGAGAGAUCAACACGUUGUUGAGAGUGAAGUUGGAGAGGGAUGUGGAGACGACGGCGGUGAUGGGUAGGCGUGAGCCGUCACCGACGAGGAUGCCAGAGGAAUGACGCAAAGAGGGGGAAUGACACGAGGUGAGAGUGUUCGCGUUACUUGCAACGUGCGAUGUGGCACCUGUGUCAAGGAACCAGUCUGGCGUGCUGUUACUAGAGCGUCAAGUUUUGGAGCGCCGUAUAUAGCUGGUGGUACUGUACCCAGGACGGCCCGCGGCCGGGAGUGGGAGGAGCGGCCAUGAGGUAGGCCUGAUGGGGCGGUGGCGGCCGAGGACCGAGUACACCGGCGGCGUUGGGGCCGCCCAGUGCGGGCGGGCGCCGAGCACGUUGGGGAGGAGGGCGCCGUAGGGGGCGAAGAAGCCGGCCGGCGGUGCUGCAGGUCCUGGUGGUGGUGUGCCGCGUCCGGCAGUGGAGCCACGCCCGCGUCCGCGGCUGCGUCCACGGCCGCCGCCUCCUCUCUCGCGCUUGACGGCGGGAGAGGCAGUGGGGUUCUUGCCCCGGUCGGUGGAGGAGCGAUCGCCGGAGGGGCUCCGGUCGGCGGGAGCACUGCCGGGGGUGUGGCCGACGGAGAGAGCGGUGGCGGUGGCCUCGGGAUGCCCGUCGAGGCGGGCGCGUUCGUUGGCGGAGAUUUCGUCCAUGAGGAGCUUGGAGCGCGCUUGGACAAAUGAAGGGAACGGCGUUUGCAUGGGAAGGAGGGUAGCCAUGACGUGGAACUUGCGACUGAGGCCACGCAAGAGCUGGAGAGUGAGCGACUGGUCGGAGACAGGCUCGCCGACGUCCGCAAGAGCGUCGGCGAGGGUCUUGAGUCGCCGGCUGUACUCGGCGAUGGAGAGGUCCCCCUGGACCAGGUUGCGAAAUUCGGCCCCGAGGAUGACGGCGCAGCCGGGCUGAUUGUCCAUGAAGAGGAGGUGAAGCUGCUGCCAGAUGUAGUGGGCAGAGCUGGCGGGGGUGGCCACGGCAACCAGGAGGUCGUCGUCGAUGACGCCAUGCAGCCAGAGCACGAUGGUCAGAUCGUUGUUGCGCCAGAGGGCGCUCUGAACGAGUGGUUCGGCAGCGACGUCGAGGUGGUGUUGGACUUUGUGCUUGCAGGCAAUGAGGUAGAAGAGCUGGUGCCAGCGGGUGUAGUUGCCGGACUUGAGUUGGAGCUUAGUGGUGAAGUAGUGGGCGAUGGAGGAGGGGAGUCCGGUCGCCGUAGAGGAAGGGCCGACGUCGCCAUCGUCGAGGCCGAGGGACGGAACGAGGGCGCGGUCCAGGCUGCCAAGGUGGAGGCGUGGAACGGCGACGCUGCCAGCGGUGCAGAGGGCGCCGACGGCAGGCGGGGUGACGGCGGCGCCGACGGCAGGCGGCGAGGAAGGGGUUGGCAGGCCGUCGUCCCGGACGGGGGUCUUGCCCAGGGCGGCUGGGGACGCACGACGAGGUGCGGGGGCAGCAGCGGGAGCCGGUGGCCGCGGUGUGAGCACAGCGGGGGGCGCAGCGGCGAAGGGAAUGGGGGCGGAGAGUGGCGACGAGUCCAGCUCAUCCGAACGGGUGCGGCGGAGGAGACGAUGCAUGGCUAGGAUAGAGGAUCGUAGAGAGGGCUGAUACCAAACUGGAGAGUAGAUCGCUAGGCUCAGAUGAUAUCUAUUGCAUCAGAGGUGUUACACAUAUAUACGCCCGGUGGGCAGUGUUACAACGGCCAAGGCCAUGCAUGCCUGUCCAUGCGGAGAGGUGGAUCACGACUAGGGCGGCGCCGAAGGAAGCUGUCCUGGUGCCGCAAGAAGAGGUCGUGGGGGUUAUCCUGGAGUCGGUUUCCAACAAUAUGUGCAACUUGCGAUGGUGAAUAAUCAGAGGCUGGUACAAAAACUUUUCAACGGGAGCAUAUUUGUAAAUUUGAACACAUCUUUACGGGAUCCACAUGAUAUAAGUUCAAAUUAAAUAUCAGAAGAAUUUUUGUAAACUCUAGCAUAGCAGCACCAAGGGGUUAGACGUUGUUGUGUUGUGCUACUCGAGAGCCAUCAAAAACCGUUGUGCUUGGGACAUCAUGUCAGCUUAAAAGAACUAUGUACAUUGCAGAAACUGAAGAUUUGUUUCACUCUGCCGUUGCAGCAAUACUCCUCAUAGUAAAGUACUGCCGCUACUGUCAUCUGAACAAUUUCCCUAAGAUUGUCCUGUCAGUUUCAGAGAACAACUUCUUUUACGGUCAGAGUAGUACAGUGAUGCCACAUAAUAAAUCAUUUCAGAGAACUGCAUUUUGCAAAACCAACAGGAGGAUUCAGUUUCAGUUUCUUUGGUCCUGUGAGGUGUGUAAACUAUGACCAGCAAAUUAGAAGAUCCUAGAGCUGACUUGCUACUCUGUUUUGAGUUCACCUUUGUGAAGUAUGCCUGUACAAAACAUUUAUACUUCCAUGUCUUUUGCUUUCUGAUUAGUUGUUUUUGUUAAUGCCAGUGUGGGGAAAUCAAAUUCCCGGUCAUUACUUUUCUUAGGUACAGUGAAUUUUCUAAUUUAUUGUUCAUGUUUUUUUUCCUAGAAACAAAUUUUGGUUAUGCAAAAGGUAUAUAUGUAUCUUUUGAUAUACUCCCAAAUCAUGUUUUGAUAUGCUCUCCAUUAUAGUGUUGUAUUAUUUUUCAGGUGAAUUUCACAAUCAUUAAUCUCAAUUAACCAUAGCAGAUUUCAGUAUUAUAGAUAAAUACGGUUUUGCGCAUAUGUGUUUCCUUGUGUGGUUACGAUGAAAUUUAUUGAUUUGGUACAAUCUUGAUCAAUUUGAUUAUUUUUUGUUUCUUACUGGCAAGAAAAGGCUGAUCUCAUUUUUUUUGCAGCAUUGGAAUUUACUUUUUACAUGGCACAUUUUGCAGUGGACAAUGAGGUAAGAACUUAAAACUAAUCGACCUGAUCAAUUAGAUAUUCAGUGUUUAUAUUUUGUGCCAGAUCAGUUUUUACGCUAAAUAUCCAUUGCAAAUGUAUUCUGCUGAAAUUUCUUGGACACUAUCUUUCCUCUCUCGGUUAUCUAACAUGCAUAUUCAAUAUGUCUACUAUUCAUUAAUGUAUGAGUUAUUCGUGGGGAAAUAUAUUUCUGCUUGGUUGUGUUUCAGACAUGCAUCUGAUAAUAUUUCAGAUAUAAAGUUCAUGUUGUUGUCAAUUUUGUACAAAUUCAAAUUCCCUCUCAGGCCAUCGGUAAGAUCAACUCAGAUAAUAGCUCAAGUUUGUAAAGACACUCAAACAAUUUGACACAGAUUUGCCGAAGAGACGGAGUGAAGACACCAAGACGAGUAGAGGCUGGGUCAUGUAUGGCGUGCUCUUUUUUUCCUGCUUAGUGGUCAAAACUCUGAAGGUGAUCUAUAUCAUACUAAGAGUUUCAUGCAUUAUCCGUUUUCCCUGUACAUCAUAUACUUAAUGAGUGAUUCAUAGAGUUUCUAGGUUAUUGGUAUCCUAUAAGGUAGGGGGAGACAUGCUUUUGUUUUAUUUUAUGGCAGAUUUGAUUCAUUCAUGUAAGCUUUGCUCCCCUAAAUAAAAUCUCUUCGGUGACAUGUAUAAUGGAGCAGUAGUUGAGCAUUUGUUGAAGUCCUAAAAUAUUUAUCGUAUACUCAUGACGAUGAAACAAUUAAUAACCAUAGUGUUUGUUCCAUGGUUUAUGUAUGUUUUGGAUGUUAUGCCAAUUCAGCAUCACUCGCUGCGACGAAGAAUGCCUGCUCCUAGGGCUUGAGGAAAUAGAGCGCCCAGUAAAGAAAGAAUUUGAGGAAAAGUACAUGUGUGGCAACCACCUUGGACGAAAAAGUCGUUCUCUCUUCUGAUGAAGAAAGUAACAACAAGACGUGGAGAUCAAAAGCCUAUCAUCCAGAAUGCUAACAAGCACGUAUGUUACUUAGACAUGUUCUACUUCACUUAGUUCUACUCUUUAUCUGCGACUAUCUGUCCAUGAUGAUGUAUUUGUUUGUUCAUUCAUGCAUGUAUGCUACCUAGACAUGUGGUUGAACUCAAAUAACUUAGAUUGUCUACUCUAUUGUUCACUGUCUUCCCAUAAACAUAUCAGCCUGGAAAAGUGCAAAUAUAUACAAAAGUUACUUACCAAAAAAUAGUAGAGUACCGUCAUAAACACACGAACCAACAAAUGAAACUACAAAUUAAUUAAUGAUGGAUGCUUGCACGGGGCACGGCGUGCGCCGUGCCUUUGUCCAGCUAGUAGAGGAAUAAACAGAGUUGUCUUUUCAUGAUGUGGCAUGAAAAAUUGUUUUCCAUGCAUGCGUGUUGAGAUGGUCUUUUCAUGAUGUGGCAUGUGUGGUGAGGUCACAUGUGUCCAUAUUAAAAUAAAUAGAAGUACUGGUGAUCAACUACUAGAUAUAUAUAAUUAGAUAUAGUACUAAUUGUCAGUUCAAUUCACUAGCUGUUUUGAUGUGAAUGCAAAGAAGAGGGAAUAGUUGGCUCUUGGUAUUGGAACAUUGAAAUAUUUUUUUUGUUUUAAGUGCCAGGAUUCUGGGAAAUGACUUCAUACGAUACUGAUGGAUGACAGUUAGAGACUUGGAGCAACACGCUACUCGUGUGAUGAUGGCAAGGACUGGCUGAAGCCUAUUUAAGGCUACAUACACGGUGGAGAGCAUAGCUAUGUUCCUGUAGAUGAUCGAAGCCCUUAUACCAAGUUUAUGCUACUUAACUUUGUUAUGCCUAUGAGACUGGUACAUUGAGAUAUUGGAGGAACUACCACAAAUUUACAAAGCUUGCAUGGCUACUAUGCUCAUGGUUCUGCUUCUUCUCCUGCUCCAUUCUUCCCAAAGUCCACCACGCCCCCUACUUUCAACCUGGACAAAUAGAGUAUCGAGGGGCUUCACCCAGCAAUGGAGUGGGCGUUGGCUCCUCGCCUUCCGGCGGUUUCUCGGGAUACUCGUCCAGGUCGGCAUCGCCGUCUGCAACCACCAAGGCCGUCAACUCGUGUGGGAUACUUCUACCGCCUCGCCGACCCUCACGAGGAGAAAGUCCUCGAGUACCUUGCUCGCAGCGGCCUCUACGCCGACACACUCCGUAAUCACGUUGUCGACGCCUACAUGCUCGGCACACUGCUGAUGGGUUCCGGCCUCAUUGGCAUCAGACAAGGGCGGCCGUCGUGGAUCACCUACGACGGUGUCUACCACGUAGCGUACCUGCUCAAAAUCAUCACCAAUGGAGCCCAGGUUCCCCACGACAUGGCCGGGUUUGUCGCUGCCAUGCAAUAUUAACUCGAUCGUCACAGAGUUUUGUUGUGUACUCACAUGAUAAAGAAAUGAUAACGGUUCAGCAACGCAUGCAUAACAGUUAAGACAUGUCACGUGCGCAUCUGGUGUAAAAGGACCAUAACAAAGCCUGCAGUAUAUAUAAGUCAGGACUAUAUUUAUGUACUACAUCACCAGACUUGCCUUACCUAGGAUGCAAAGUGAGUG
rnacentral:lncRNA from 1 species